rnacentral:lncRNA from 1 species
UGGCUCAAUUUGGAGAGGUCGUUCUCCAGUGGGGAAGAAGGAAUAACAAAAGGAGCAUUUUUGGAGCAUUUAUUAACAGUAUAGGCUAGGCUUUUUUUCUAUGUAUUUUAUAUGUGUCUAUUCAUUUAAUGCCCUUGAUAAUCCACUGAAAGAGGUGUCAUUAUUAUCAUCCCAUUUUACAGAAGAAGAAACUGAAACAAGAAGAUGAGCAUCUCAGCAUCUCAGAGGUGAAGAAACUGGCCUAGCCACCACGUGGUGGCACUUGCAGCCUGAGUCAGCAGAUCCCCAGGCAAAUGAAGACUCUGAGAUGAAGACAGCUGAGCGCAUGAUGGGGUAGGUCAGCCUCCCUCAUGGAAAUUCUGUGUGCCUGAGGCCCACCCUUCCAGUGCAGAUGGAGGGAUGGGAUGGAAAUGAAUCUAGGGGAACGCAUCCCAGCUGUGAUCCAGCCACCUCUGCGUUUGAAGGCUGGGGGUUAUUCCCUCCUCAUGGUUGCCACGCAUUCUUAUGUUUGCAUGUCAUGCUUGGAACUGCCGCAGCCACUUUGUGACAGCCUGAGAAUGAAUCCAGCGCUAAAAUCAGUCUAGCAAAAGGAGGAGAAACACCUGGGUCUCCAUGAUGUCACUGAGCAAGUGAAUUGACCAGCUGUGAGGUACUUCUGUGAUUCCUCCAUCUCACAGGACUGGUGUCCUUAUAAUGAAAGGAAGAGACACUGAGUUCUGUCUCCCAGCCUUGUGAGGACACGUUGAGAUGACUGCAAGCUGGGAAGAGAGCCUUCACCAGGAGCUGAAUUUGCUGGUAGUUUGAUCUUGAACCACAUUGAGAUGACUGCAAGCUGGGAAGAGAGCCUUCACCAGGAGCUGAAUUUGCUGGUACUUUGAUCUUGAACCUCCAGCCUCCAGAAUUGUGACAAAAUAAAUUUCUGUUGUUGAAGCCA